rfam:Apaloderma vittatum contig55346, whole genome shotgun sequence.
UAGCUCAGUCAGUUGAGCGUGGCGCUAACAACGCCAAAGUCGCGGGUUUGAUUCCUGU